rnacentral:tRNA from 1 species
GAAGUUUUAAGUUAAUAAUAAACUAUAAAUUUUCAAAAUUUAUAAUAGAAAUAAUUUUCUAAAUUUCG